ACAGCCACAUCAUGUUGAAACACUGGUUUCCACACAAUCACUGAAGUUAAGCAAUCUUGAGCCUGGUCAGUACCUAGAUGGGUGAUCACUUACAAAUACCAGGUACUGUAAG